rnacentral:misc_RNA from 1 species
CGCUCCUUUCUUUCUCCCGCUUCUCCUUUUCCCGGGCAGGUCCCUGAUGUUGCAUCCGCACCCACAGCUUGUUCAUCUCAGUGAAAUUUUGCAGUACAAACUCCACAGCAUCCAUGACUGUUUCAGCAUCCCCUUCAUACUCAGAGCCAAUGUCAGGUAAUUUAUCCCUACUGACUUGAGAAAGAUAACUCCUUAAGAAGAGCCCACGAACAGGAUGUUGAAUGCCACGACACAUUUCCACAAGAUCCUUUAGAACAUCCUUUGCAGGAGCUUCUUUAGAUUUUAUGUAUACAGACCCUACAGUACAGAGGAGAUACAAUCUUGGCAAUAUGUUACCAGCAUGCUGCACAAGUUCAUACAAAUCAAUAAUCGAGCACCCACGUCGCGUCUCUUCCUUGAAAAACAUCUCCAGCUUCCUCAAUUCAUCAAAUGCUCGCAUGUAGAGUUCAUAGUACUUGUGAGGGGAGAGUUUCGAAGUCCGCAGUUCUGAGAGCAUCUGUGCUGAAUACUUCAAAGCGUCUCUGAGAUUGUUCGAGUCCAGAGCGCGAUGCAUGUAGAAGGCGUUCUGUUGAAGUCCGGCAAUUGCUGCC